GCAAAGAUUAGCUCCAUGUAACCAUGAAGAGGCUGAUACAAGAAUCAUAGUGCACAUGGCUGACGCAGUAAGUCAAGGUUAUACGCGGGUAAUGAUACGCACUGUUGAUACCGACGUCGUGGUGCUGGCAGUCGCAAGUGUGCUACAAGUACCUGAGCUAGAAGAGCUGUGGGUACACGUAGGUACUGGUAAACACCACCAGUACCUUCCUUGUCACGAAAUAGCAAAAACUCUAGGUAAAAAAUAAUUAUAAAUUGUAUUUAUCUACGUUACGCCCUAGCCACUAGCUAGAAUAGAAUAGAAUGCACUGAGACUAUAACGCUAGGCGGGCUAUAUAAAACAUAUUAUUUUCUUUUACAGGGCCACAAAAAGCGAAAGUCCUCCCCCUGUUCCAUGCCUUCACAGGUUGUGAUACUGUGUCCUAUUUUAACGGGAAAGGAAAAAAAAGUGCAAUAGAUGCAUGGAACGCAUUUCCCAAUGCCACAGAAGGGUUUCUGGCAGCAUAUGAGGGGAGUACUAGCGAGGCGUUUACAGUAAUCGAAAAGUUUGUCGUCAUUUUAUAUGACAGAGCCAGUUCAUUUACAACCGUAAACGAAGCCCGAAAGCACCUAUUCUCGAAAAAAGACCGCCAAUUGGAGAAUAUACCUCCGACGAAAGCUGCUCUAUACCAGCAUUUCCUGCGGGCAGUGUUCCAAGCAGUCCAUGUAUGGGAUCAGAUGUCACCGAAUCAAAAUCUUCCCUGUCCAUCUAACUGGGGAUGGAGAAAAGUCAGUGAAAGCUGGCAACCUACAUGGACAGACUUGCCCGUAGCUGCAGAUGCAUGCCUGGAAAUGAUCCGGUGCAGAUGCAAAAAGAGGUGCGGCGGCUCGAGGUGCCGGUGCUUUCAGCGGCAACUUAAGUGCACGGAGCUUUGCGAUUGUGGGGGACAAUGUAAAUAAUAAACAUUUUUAAGUAAAAUUCUAUACUGUUUGUUUAAUUUCUUUAUAGAUUUUGGGUCACUUGAAAUCGUGCCCAGCUGAGCCAUAAGUUUAAAUAUGCUUAUACACACGAUAAAAAAUGUCUUCUAUCAAAUAAUUAUUAAAAUUGAGCUAUAUACUAUAUAUAGAGAGCGUCGGUGGCGUAAUGCUUAAGACCGCUACCUCCUGUGCGGGAGGUCGUGGUUCGAAUCCUGGCCGCAUACCAAUGUGUUUUCGAAUCUCGAUUUCAUAUGUACGUUUAUUCGACGCUCUUACGGUGAAGAAAAACAUCGUGAGGAAACCUGCACACGGCUGCGAGGAAACUCGAAGCUUGUGUGUGAAGUCGACCAACCCGCACUGGGCUCGCGUGAUCGACUAAGGCCCGAUCACCCUAAUGCAGGGUAGGCUCGAGCCCCUCGGUGGGGACAUAUAUGAGCUGAUAUGAUGAUAUACUAUAUCUAAUGAAAACUCCAUCCUUAUUAGUUACAGCUUACAGGACACUAGCAACCUAUAAAACUCGUUUUUGAUGUUCAUAAUUGGCUAAGAAUUUUUUACGACUCUGCCGCGCGGUGUUCUAUAUUUUUUUAAACAAUUUUUUUCUUAAAUAUUUGCAAUGUUACUUAUAUUUUUGGAAUCUGUAUUAAUGCGCCUUUUUAAAUAUAUUUUUUUUAAUCCGAUAUCGGUAAUCAUUAAAAAUUUAUUGACCUUGAAAGAUUUUUU